CAGAUGCCUCAGAGCCCCGGGCCGCAGUUAAGGUGACGAGAUGCAGCAAUUCUUUAUGAACAUUUCAUUCCUACUCGCUACACGACGUAAAUUAGAUGGUGUGUUACAUUCGGGCAAUAAGAGAGAUAUGUCACCACGACGCUGGCCCAUUGGAUGGAGAGGGGGGUUUGGCGAAGAGCUGAAAGGAUUUCACCCUGAUGUGCACACUACUGAGUGACCCCGCUCACCAGCGGCUCCGCUGAUUGUUUUGCACCUUGCAGACGCCGCAAUUGGCUCAGCCUC
rnacentral:lncRNA from 1 species